ensembl:lncRNA
GACGCAGAUACUUAUCCCAUAAAAUAAAAAUGCCCUCCCCCACUGAGAAUUCCCUCUUCCCCUUCAGCGCACCGUGCUAGGCAAAGGCCCUAUCCUUUGAUGCCGGAUUCUGGCUGGCAGGGACCACCCCGUGGGUACAGACUGAUGCUGGUUUGGUGCAGAGGUGUCAGCGUCAGGUCGCACCACGCGAGUCCUUUGCAGGCGGGGCCGGGAGAGCCGCACGCUGAUUGGAGCCCGAUCCUGGGCUUUUGUCUGGGGCAGCCGUUGCAUAGCAACCGGGUUUUUAUUUAGCUAGUUCCCUUAGCUCGGCUUCGGGGUCGCUCUGAUGGAGAUUGGGGGCGGGGGUGAGGAAACUGAGGACCCACUCCUUCCCACGCCGCAGCUCGGAUUCACGGUGACUCCGCCCUUCUGAGCAAAGAGGUGCAGGGGUCCCACUGCCACCGGGGAGGUACCCCACCAUCGCGCUCGGCCGCGCGCCCUGCAGCCCAGGCGCUCGCACACGCGCGCUCUCCACGCGCGCCGUCCGCCUCCGGAGGCCGCCCACUCGGACGCGCGUGGGGAGCACGCGGGCAUCGGCGGCUGCGCGGCGGCCGCUCCUCGGCGGCGUAGCGGAUAAGCUCCCGGGAGGAUGCCUCGGUACGGGGCGCGUCGCCCCCCUCAGGCCACCAGAGCCCGGAUACCUCAGAAAUUCGGCUCUGGGUCUGUGGGGAGCGAAAUGCAACCCAAACCCCGUUUCCCCGAAGCACCGCGCAGAUAAACACGCACAAGCACGCACACAGACGUCGUCGGCCCGCACUCGCAGCCGCAGGUCCCGGCCUGAGGGAAGAGGCCGGGGCCCAAGAUGGCUCGCCGCCUUCGCCUCGCAGCCCCGGGCGCGGCCGCUCGCCCUCGCCGCUCGCUCGCAGGUGCGACGGAAGUGCCCGGCGUCACCGGCCCGGAGCGACGGCGCAACGGCCGGUCUGGGCCUGCAGCCUCGGUGGCCCGGGCCGGACGGGAGCGGCCGCCGGACACAGCCGGCUGCAGUGUAGACCAUGGACUGAAGCUAUUGAAGACCCAAAAGAAAGAAAAUGUUGAGAGGUGGAAUGAGCUUGGUGGUUGAAGAGAUGGCUGAAGAUUCACACUUGAGCUGUUUCCCAAAACUAAGUGCUGCAGGAGAGCAGAAGCAGCUACCUAGCCUGCCAGAGACAUGCUGUUUCUAGGCUAGGGUGACUGCUGACACAAGGAAGCAAAAAAAUUAAAAAUACUGGAGCGUGUGAUAAUGAUGAGUUCAGAUAACGCAUGGGUUGAGUUUUCGGUCCCUGGGACAUGCUGGAGAUGUACUGUUGGUACGUAGACAUGACAGAACAUGAUGAAUGUUCUCAGAAUGGAAGAACAUGACAAAGAAAAGUUGGAGGUGUGAAAAGAAGGAAAGACUUAACUCUAAGGAGAGACUCAGGCUUUGGACUACUGCUCUUUUGGAAGAUUUAAAAUAAACUUUGAAUGUUAAUAGGUGACUAAGUUAUUUUUAGGUGAUUUCAUUUACUUUAUGGAAUUAUUUUGUUCAACAUUCCCUACUUUGCUACAACUUAAAUGGAACAUAACCCUGUUAUUAAACUUAAGGGAGGAAAGGUUUAUUUUGGCUUUGUUCCAUAGGUUGUCAUAUGUGGUCACAUGGCAAGAAUUCCACACCAGGAAAGAAAUGUGCAGAACCAAAGAUAGCCACCUCUUGGCUGCAAAGAAGAAAAGGUAAAGAGGCCAGGGACUUAAUUCCCUCUUGCAAGGACUUGUCCCCAAAGACUCGAUUUACUAGGGCCCAGCUCCUAAUGGUCUUAUCACUUCACAUUAGGCCUUUGAGGUAGUUAAGACAAACUAUAAGUUGCUAAUAAAAAAAGUUUUCAAAAGGUCAAAUAAGUCAACGGAGACAAAGUAUUAAUGGAAAUGUAACGAGUCAAUACUCAAAAAUGUUAUUGCUUUGAAGCAGAGUUAUUCGGCCCUCUAGCAUUCACAGGACAGAAAAAUCAUAGAGCAAGUUUGCCCCUUGAAUCUUAGUCAAGGAAUGUUUACCAAGAGUAUACUGCUAAGUGUGUAAAGAAACUUUUCCCCCUCUCCUCCCGCCUGCCAUUAUCACAGAGGCAACGCGUAUUACUCAAAUACUUCUGUUUUAAUAAAGGAAGCAUAGAUGCUAGGUUGCUUAUGACUCUAAACAGUGAAAGUAAAAUGUUGACUUAAUAGUUACUGAAAUAUAAAUAACACAAAAGAGCUACAGCCAAGAAGCACCAAUAGGUCUCGACAGCACUCCUUGGGUACCAAAAAGCAGGUCAGGUCCAGGGCCUACCUAAGCCCUGGUAAACUGAGUCAUUUGACCUACUAGCCAGUGAAAAUCCUGUUUAAUCCUGUUUUGUUUAGAACAAAAUUAAUCAUUCAUCCCAUUCCAGUUGCUAAGAAAAACUCUCCUCUCGCAUCUUUACCCGGUUUUCCUAGGAGGCCUCAGUUGCUUCAGGCUUGUUUGAUGUUCACAUAGUUCUUUGUUUCUGCUUCAGGAAUACUUUUACUCACACAGCGUAGCUUGUACACGGGAAGAACCAGGCAUGUAUGUGUGUAUGAGCCGUGUCUGCAUCCUGGCACUUUUAUAACUGAG